CAUGUCCUGAUCUAAGGCCUCAAGACCUCAGACACUCAAAGUAUAUUUUUCUUUGGUAGCUAGAAGGCUCUGCAUAAAGGAGAGCUGGUAUUAUAUUAAAAAUUAUGAUUAUAUUUGCAUUUAAUUCUACCCAGAGUUCAUAACAAGUAUGCAGAUAAUUGGUACUAAGCAAAUAUUUCUUUUAUUGAUGGAUCUAAAUAAUGAGCUAUGCUACUUUAGAACUGCAUGAGAUAUUAAAUGUUCAGGUGGCCCAGUUUCUCCAUCUGACAGAUUGAAAAACUGAAUCUGGAGGAAUAAUUGACUGAUCAAGACUGCACCACUGUGGACCCUGGCAAGACAGUACCUUCUGUGUGUCCCUACUGGUGCAGACCCAGCCCAAGAGAGCUGAUGGCUAAAUUUCCGGGAACGCUGACAGCCAGUUAUGCAACACAGCCACUGUUAAAAGCUCGCACUUCUGGCAUGAGACCCGGCAUCUAAUCUCUCUAGUGAAUUAGCCGUCACUCUCUCUGCUGCCAUAUCCUUGGACUUGCAGGAACCAGAGGGAGAGUUAUGUGGCUGACAGAGAAUGAGAAGAAUGAGGAAAAGGAGAAAAUAAUAUAACCUGACACUACAGUAACGAGCUUUACCUUGAAAUCUCACUCUACCCAGAGGAAAAUUGGAGUCAGGGUAGGGAGGGGAUGGAAAUAAAAGUAGACAUGACACGUU